rnacentral:rRNA from 1 species
GACGACGCUGGCGGCGUGCUUAACACAUGCAAGUCGAACGCUGAAGCCCCAGCUUGCUGGGGUGGAUGAGUGGCGAACGGGUGAGUAACACGUGAGUAACCUGCCCAUCACUCUGGGAUAAGCGCUGGAAACGGUGUCUAAUACUGGAUAUGCACAAUGGCCGCAUGGUCUGUUGUGGGAAAAGAUUUAUCGGUGGUGGAUGGACUCGCGGCCUAUCAGCUUGUUGGUGAGGUAAUGGCUCACCAAGGCGACGACGGGUAGCUGGUCUGAGAGGAUGAUCAGCCACACUGGGACUGAGACACGGCCCAGACUCCUACGGGAGGCAGCAGUGGGGAAUAUUGGACAAUGGGCGAAAGCCUGAUCCAGCCAUGCCGCGUGAGUGAUGACGGCCUUAGGGUUGUAAAGCUCUUUCGCCAGGGACGAUAAUGACGGUACCUGGAUAAGAAGCCCCGGCUAACUUCGUG